CGUCUAUAUACGUAUAGCAUAUCAAUAAGCGGAGGAAAAGAAACUAACUAGGAUUCCCUCAGUAACGGCGAGUGAAGCGGGAAGAGCUCAAAUUUGAAAUCUUCAAGGUUCUACCUUGACGAAUUGUAGUUUAAAGAAGUGUUUUCUGUUGGAAUUUUGGUAAAAGUUCUUUGGAAUAAGACAUCAAUAGAGGGUGAGAAUCCCGUAUUUGACCAUUAUUUCCAGCUUUGUGAUACACUUUCAAAGAGUCGGAUUGUUUGGGAAUGCAGUCCAAAAUGGGUGGUAAAUUUCAUCUAAAGCUAAAUAUUGGCGAGAGACCGAUAGCGAACAAGUACCGUGAGGGAAAGAUGAAAAGAACUUUGAAAAGAGAGUUAAACAGUACGUGAAAUUGUCAAAAGGGAAGCGUUUGACACCAGUGUUGUUUUCUCGAAAAUCAAUUGAAAAAGAUUGGAUUUUGUGUUGUAUUGACUUUAUCAGCUUUCUGCACUCUUUUCUUGUCUUUUUUAAUGCACUUUUCGUUUAACAAGUCAACAUCAAUUUCUUUUGCUGUAAAAGGGUCAUUGGAAGGUGGCUUUCUUUUCGGAGAAAGUGUUUAUAGCCUUUGGCCUCUGCAAUCGGAGAGAUUGAGGUCUGCAGCGUAGAUCCUUCGGGGUUAGAUACAGUUAGAUGCUAAGUUAUAGCCUUUUCAUAGACAACUUGUUGACUAUGAUCAGUCAUGUAGCUUACUCGCUUAUGCUAUUUUACCUACGCUUAGGAUGUUGACGAUCAGCUGAGCGCG
rnacentral:rRNA from 1 species